rnacentral:rRNA from 1 species
UACGUAGGGUGCGAGCGUUGUCCGGAAUUAUUGGGCGUAAAGAGCUCGUAGGCGGUUUGUCGCGUCUGCUGUGAAAACCCGAGGCUCAACCUCGGGCCUGCAGUGGGUACGGGCAGACUAGAGUGCGGUAGGGGAGAUUGGAAUUCCUGGUGUAGCGGUGGAAUGCGCAGAUAUCAGGAGGAACACCAAUGGCGAAGGCAGAUCUCUGGGCCGUAACUGACGCUGAGGAGCGAAAGCAUGGGGAGCGAACAGG